AGCAAUGGAUGAUGCAGGACAGAUUGCGGGCUCCCCAGCGGCCAGACCCCCGUGAUCAGACAUCUUAUCCCCUAUGCUUUGCCAUUACAGAACUGUGGUAAAACGAAGAAAACGUAUUACUCAACUGAAGGUUUCAGUAAGCUAGCGCUUCUUGCGACCAACUUUGAUGUCAGACUGGGGAAUCCAGGCUCUUUGUAGUGAAGUUUGCGAAAAUAUUAAGAAAGAGGGUUCAUACAAAGCUCAUUGGAAAAUACAAUUAUGCCUGGAAGGUAUUAAGGGAAAAUAGGGAGAGCUGUAAGAUGGAUGAAUGGCUAUCAAAGGAAUCCUGAACACAUCAUAAAGAAGUACGAAGACCCAAACAGAAGGUGGGAUGCUUAAGAAACUUAAAGAAAUCUACUUAAAUAGUCACUGAGUUUUUCUAACCAGCUUAGUUUUAGGUACCUAUAAAAUGUUUUUACGUUUAGUGGUCUGGAGAAGACAACUUUUUUUAUUUUAUUUUUUAUUUCCAUCUAUCAUCU